rnacentral:lncRNA from 1 species
AAACGGUGUCGAUUUUACCCACAUAAACACCGCGUAGCUUUACAAAUGACUACAAAGAGUCCUGGGCAAUGCCCUUUAUCACAGAUGCCACAGAACCAGCUGAUACAUGCAGCAUGUGUUUGACAAAGUGGACCAUUCACCAAUGCUUAAUCCUUCCUAACUCAGUACAAUUGCUCAAGGCAUUGAUACGUGGACCUGCAGCACGGCAUGGCUAUGUCCACUUAGGUUGAACUUAAGGGGAAAACUCGGCGAUGUAUGUGUGAGUUUCAUUCAUUUUGCCAUAGAGUGAUUUUGUCACCCGAUCAGACAGUGGGUCUGCAUCUUGAGAGACUACUUCUCAGCAUUAGGUGCAAUCCCAUAACUUGAUGGCCAUAGAUAUACUUUUAAGUUUUGUGAUGUACUUUGAAUUCUUCUGACACACUGUUAACUUGAAUCAGCCCCAUCAACAUUUUCUCCAUCUGUCCAAGUCUAGACAAGAAGAACAGCAAAAAUUGGGGCCUAUAUUUGUACUUUUCCCAAUCUCUGUAUGUAAAUUUCCUGCAAGGAGUGACUUCAUGCUACCCCUAGGGCAUCAGUGAACACCAGAUGAGAAGAGGUGAGCGGUAGCCUGCCCCUAAGUGCUGUUUCCACGGUACAAGUACGACAGGAGCAACUGCACUUAAAGGCACAGAGAGCAUCGGAAUGCCAGAAAGUUGGAUCCCCUGAGCUCUGACAGAAGGGAUUUGAUGGAU